AGUGGAAGCGUCUGGAAAGGCGCGCGAUACAGGGUGACAGCCCCGUACACAAAAGCGCAUGUGCUGUGAGCUCGAUGAGUAGGGCGGGACACGUGGUAUCCUGUCUGAAUAUGGGGGGACCAUCCUCCAAGGCUAAAUACUCCUGACUGACCGAUAGUGAACCAGUACCGUGAGGGAAAGGCGAAAAGAACCCCGGCGAGGGGAGUGAAAAAGAACCUGAAACCGUGUACGUACAAGCAGUGGGAGCACCCUUUGGGGUGUGACUGCGUACCUUUUGUAUAAUGGGUCAGCGACUUAUAUUCUGUAGCAAGGUUAACCGMAUAGGGGAGCCGSAGGGAAACCGAGUCUUAAUUGGGCGUUAAGUUGCAGGGUAUAGACCCGAAACCCGGUGAUCUAGCCAUGGGCAGGUUGAAGGUUGGGUAACACUAACUGGAGGACCGAACCGACUAAUGUUGAAAAAUUAGCGGAUGACCUGUGGCUGGGGGUGAAAGGCCAAUCAAACCGGGAGAUAGCUGGUUCUCCCCGAAAGCUAUUUAGGUAGCGCCUCGUGAAUUCAUCUCCGGGGGUAGAGCACUGUUUCGG
rnacentral:rRNA from 1 species